UACGUAGGGUGCAAGCGUUGUCCGGAAUUAUUGGGCGUAAAGAGCGUGUAGGCGGCCCGGUAAGUCCGCUGUGAAAGUCGAGGGCUCAACCCUCGAAUGCCGGCGGAUACUGUCGGGCUAGAGUCCGGAAGAGGCGAGUGGAAUCCUGGUGUAGCGGUGAAAUGCGCAGAUAUCAGGAGGAACACCUACGGCGAAGGCAGCUCGCUGGGACGGUACUGACGCUGAGACGCGAAAGCGUGGGGAGCAAACAGG
rnacentral:rRNA from 1 species